rnacentral:lncRNA from 1 species
AAAUGUAUCAUGUGAUACAGAUAGAAAGCCACAGUAUUUCCGCUGUUGCAGACACUUAUAAAAAUAGAAAACCAAUACAGCACUUUGUGUUUCAGGGACCUACAUAUGACAGUCCCACUGUUAAUAACUAUAAAAGCAUAAAACAUGAAUUAGAAGUUAUUCUCCACCCUGUAGUGACAGAACAUCAAAAGCAUAUCUAGAAGAAGACUUACAGCAAGAUAUCCAAAGGUUUAAGAAUGAGGUGGGCAUGUUACAAGUAGAGUCCCUGGCUUUGAAGAAAGAGAAAGUUUAACUACAAAA